rnacentral:rRNA from 1 species
GCGCCUAACACAUGCAAGUCGAACGAGAAAGCGGGAGCAAUCUCGCAAGUACAGUGGCGUACGGGUGAGUAACACGUGGAUUAUCUGCCCUGGAGUGGGGAAUAACGCCGGGAAACCGGCGCUAAUACCGCAUAUUCCCGAGAGGGGAAAGCAGCAAUGCGCUCGAGGAGGAGUCCGCGGCCGAUUAGCUAGUUGGCAGGUAAAAGCCUACCAAGGCAGUGAUCGGUAGCCGGCCUGAGAGGGCACACGGCCACACUGGCACUGAAACACGGGCCAG